CAUAAAUAAUUGUUUCUAGUGGUUGUUUUCUAAAUGAAUUGUGUUGAGUCUUGAUGCAGCAUUUUAAGGCCCUCUUUGUUGGUGGUUGCAUCUUAUAUUUCCAAAUUGAAAAGUUGUUAAUAAGUGAGAAUCAUGAUAGCUCCUCAACAAUUCAAGAACCAUGAGCAGAUUAUCACAGUAUCGGGGUUCACCGCACUGUUGACAGUUUGGGAAUGUUUGAGUUUGAACCUUGUCACCCUCAUAAUUGGUCCACAGUGUAAAAAAAGUGUACAUGUUUGUAAUUUAACUUAAAGCAUGUCCUGAUUGUGAAGCAAUAAGCUUUCAAGGGAAAUUCCUAUGUCUGCCAUUGAUAAUUCCAUGUCUCCUUCGGAGAAACGGCCUAGAGGAUGCCCACCUUGAAGUGGAAGGAAACAACAACUAGCUGCUCUAGGUGAAUGGAUGAACAGCUUUGCUGGCCAGGCCUUUUCACCACAUGUUAUCACCAUUGGAGUUGAGGAGGGGUAUGCUUGACAGGGGAAGCAUAUUUACCUAACUUAUUACUGGUAGAUUGAUCUCAGCUCAUACUAAAUCUUUCCGUCUCUAUCACAAUGUUGUUGCAUGCUAUCUAAAGCUGGGAGAAUGUUGUUGCAUGCUAUCAGAAUCUUUCCGUCUUUAGACUUGUAAUAAGGUAUGCUCCAUGGCCUCAGCUAUCGUCUAGGCUUUAUUUAUUUGAUUGAAAUAAAGUUAAUAAACAGAAUAGCAUAUAGCAAUAUCUUACUAUGUUUUAAGCCUGUUUCGAACAAAUCUUUUAAAUCUAAAACUUACUAAAGUUAAUAAACUGAAACUUACUAUGUUUUAAGCCUGUUUUGAACAAAUCUUUUAAAUCUGAAAAAGACUCAAACUGUAGCUUGAAGAAAUGUGAAUGUUACUACCCACACAUUUAUCAUAUAAGACUUUCUUUUAGGAAGUGACUCACAAGACUAACUUAAUCCACUGAAAUUCUAGUUUCACAAGCAAUGAAAUUGUAACAACGAGGCAAAGUGGGUGCACAAACCUUUAUUUUUCUUUCUCAAAUGUACUUUGACCAAUAAUUUAAUUAACAACAAAUCUAAGAUCCUAAAGAAUAAUAAAUUUACUUAUAGCUUCAUAAUAUUUUUCACAUACUUGAAAAGUUUGGCAGCUGUGGCAUAAAUUUGCAUUUGACUCAUCUCCCCGUACUUGCUAAUCUCAUUGUGACAAGUUUCUAAGAGAGAUCCUCCUUGCAGAAACUUCAAACCAGCUUCAAAGUAGGUCUCAUUGCUUUCAAAAUCAAAUCCGGAGUUCUAUGAAAUUAACAGUAUUACAUCAUCGGUUAGAAAAAGAAAGGUGGAAUUUUCAAACAAAGUGAAGUAAAAUCUUGAAAUGAUCAAUUAACCUUAUAGUUGCAGGCAGGAAGCUUUAGAGAGAUAGAAGAUGUUGCACCCUUGAAGGAGAAAUUGGGAAGGCCAUUAUCAAAGCAAGAAAGAAGUGGGAUAGGUGUGAGCAAACUUAGGCUGCUUCUGGAAGAAAUACUACAAAAGAGGUUUGUGAAAAGUGAACCUGCUUUAGUUCCACAAUGGUUGAGAAGUAAUGGAAGUGUUACUAGUUCAGCCCACCAUUUUGCAUCUUCAUCUAAUCACAUUGAUACUCAUACUGUAGCUCACUCAAGGAAUAGGUCUUCUAAGACAACUAGUGAUUUUGAUAGUCCUCGUUCUGUGUUUCUUGAACGGGCAUUUUCGUCAUAUUCUCGGAGGGGCACUAUCAACGGCUCGGUAUGGUUACCAUUGAUACAUGUGGCUCUUUCUUGUAAUAAUUUCUUGUGUCUUGUUUUUUUGCAUACAGAAAACAAUUGCUUCUCCAGGACGUGGUAUUUUGGCCAUGGAUGAAUCCAAUGCUACAUGUGGAAAGCGGUUGGAUUCAAUUGGACUAGAGAACACCGAAGCUAACCGUCAAGCAUGUAAAAUUAUAUAUGAAGAAAGUGUUAUGACUUAGUUAAAAUAUAAUUUUUAUGUGUAUGAUUUUAUAAUACUUGAAAUAUUAUGACUGUACAUGAUUUUGUAUACUUUUUGGUUAAUAUUAAAAAUAUUUUGACUUAGUUAAAAUAUGAUUUUUAUGUGUAUGAUUUUAUAGUAUUUAUAAUACUAUGACUGAAAAUAAAAUAUAACUAAAUGGUGUUUAUGA